CCACUUCGAUUUGUUGGGGACAAAUAAAGUGGAUGUGGGAAUCAACACCGCCUGCUGUGACAAUCAUACCCUCACCAGCGACGGCUUCUGUACCAGGGCCAAUAAUAAUAUCUAUAUUGUCUUNNNN
rnacentral:ncRNA from 1 species